rnacentral:misc_RNA from 1 species
UUACAUGGUAAAACUCGAUAUCA